CACAGACACAAAAAGCCUUUUGGAAGGUUGUGUCUUUGUUGAAGAUGAUGUUUAGCAUUUUAGCAUUCAAGACUCUUCAGACACGGAUUGCGAGAACGCCUGGCCUGAGAAAUUGACACCCGAGUGAAUGGAGGCGAAUGCACCUGCUUCAGGUGAGGAAGGCAGAUCACCAAAGGCGGCAGGAGUCCAGUGGUGAGGAUGGGAGGUCGGGAGAAGCUAAGAAGAAGGAGAGAAGAGACUCUACAGUGGGAGAACCACUUUGGGAAGAGCAGGAUCAGCCCCUUUAUCAUUUCGGUUUCCCUCUUCUGCUGCACCUUCUUCAGUUCGACAGUAUCGCUUUUUUGGUAAUCUGGCGACCGGAAGGAUACACUUUACUUCUGAGGAACAGCUACAACUGGAAACAAGGUCAGCUUCUUGUUGUUGUUGUUGUUGUUGUUGUUAUAGCCCAGUAAGCUUCCAGACCACCUUGGGUUUAUCCUCUCUUUUUGACAGUUAAAGCACCACAUUUUCAUUGAUGCCAGGAGAUGUUGAACAGUAGGGCACACAUCCUGGGGUGCCUCUGUUAUGGCACAAGAGAUAUUCCCAGACUGAUUGGGCAAGGUUCGGACCACAAUGUGUGUCUGGACAUUUAAAUUUGCAUUCUG